rnacentral:snRNA from 12 species
UUUCAUUGAAUGAAUCCGUUAUAGAGUUUAGAGUUUAGAUUAGCAUGGCCCGUGCGAAAGGAUGACACGCAAAUCCGUGAAGCACUCCAUCUUUUU